GCUGGCGGCAGGCCUAACACAUGCAAGUCGAGCGCCCUGUUUCGGCAGGGAGCGGCGGACGGGUGAGUAACGCGUGGGAACGUGCCCUUUAGUUCAGAAUAGCCACUGGAAACGGUGAGUAAUACUGGAUACGCCCUUCGGGGGAAAGAUUUAUCGCUAAAGGAUCGGCCCGCGUUGGAUUAGCUUGUUGGUGGGGUAAUGGCCUACCAAGGCGACGAUCUAUAGCUGGUCUGAGAGGAUGAUCAGCCACACUGGGACUGAGACACGGCCCAGACUCCUACGGGAGGCAGCAGUGGGGAAUAUUGGACAAUGGGGGUAACCCUGAUCCAGCCAUGCCGCGUGAGUGAAGAAGGCCCUAGGGUUGUAAAGCUCUUUCAGAUGUGAGGAUGAUGACAGUAGCAUCAGAAGAAGCACCGGCUAACUUCGUGCCAGCAGCCGCGGUAAUACGAAGGGUGCUAGCGUUGUUCGGAAUUACUGGGCGUAAAGGGCGUGUAGGCGGAUGAUCAAGCUAGAGGUGAAAGCCCAGGGCCCAACCCUGGAACUGCCUUUAGAACUGAUUGUCUAGAAUCCGUAAGGGGAGUGUGGAAUUCCUAGUGUAGAGGUGAAAUUCGUAGAUAUUAGGAAGAACACCAGUGGCGAAGGCGGCACUCUGGUACGGUAUUGACGCUGAG
rnacentral:rRNA from 1 species